UACGUAGGGACCGAGCGUUGUCCGGAAUCAUUGGGCGUAAAGAGCGUGUAGGCGGCCCGGCAAGUCCGCUGUGAAAGUCAAAGGCUCAACCUUUGAAUGUCAGUGGAUACUGCCGGGCUAGAGUCCGGAAGAGGCGAGUGGAACUCCUGGUGUAGCGGUGGAAUGCGCAGAUAUCAGGAAGAACACCAACGGCGAAGGCAGCUCGCUAGGACGGUACUGACGCUGAGACGCGAAAGCGUGGGGAGCGAACAGG
rnacentral:rRNA from 1 species